AGUAAUGCUUGGGAAUCUAGCUUAUGGAGGGGGAUAACUAUGGGAAACUGUAGCUAAUACCGCGUAGAAUCGGGAGAUGAAAGUGUGGGACCUUCGGGCCACAUGCCAUAGGAUGAGCCCAAGUGGGAUUAGGUAGUUGGUGAGGUAAAGGCUCACCAAGCCGACGAUCUCUAGCUGGUCUGAGAGGAUGACCAGCCACACUGGGACUGAGACGCGGCCCAG
rnacentral:rRNA from 1 species